rnacentral:rRNA from 1 species
UACGUAGGGUGCAAGCGUUAAUCGGAAUUACUGGGCGUAAAGCGUGCGCAGGCGGUUUUGUAAGCCAGAUGUGAAAGCCCCGGGCUUAACCUGGGAAUGGCAUUUGGGACUGCAAGGCUUGAGUGCGGCAGAGGGGGGUAGAAUUCCACGUGUAGCAGUGAAAUGCGUAGAGAUGUGGAGGAACACCGAUGGCGAAGGCAGCCCCCUGGGUCAAGAUUGACGCUCAUGCACGAAAGCGUGGGGAGCAAACAGG